rnacentral:rRNA from 1 species
UGUUAUCCGCUGCUCAGAAUGAACGCUGGCGGCGUGCUUACACAUGCAAGUCGAACGAGAAAGGGACUGCUUGCAGUCCUGAGUAGAGUGGCGCACGGGUGAGUAACACGUAGAUAAUCUGCCUUCAAGUCUGGGAUAACCAAUCGAAAGGUUGGCUAAUACCGGAUGAAGUCUUUUUGCACAAGUGAUGAGAUGAAAGAUAGCCUAUGCUUGCAAGCUAUCGCUUGGAGAUGAGUCUGCGGACCGUUAGCUUGUUGGUGGGGUAACGGCCUACCAAGGCUGCGAUGGUUAGCUGGUCUGAGAGGAUGAUCAGUCACACUGGAACUGGAACACGGUCCAGACUCCUACGGGAGGCAGCAGUGAGGAAUUUUGCGCAAUGGGGGAAACCCUGACGCAGCAACGCCGCGUGAGUGAAGAAGGCCCUUGGGUCGUAAAGCUCUGUCAACUGGGAAGAAGUUAGUAACAAUUAAUAGUUGUUAUUAUUGACGGUACCAGUGGAGGCGCCGGCUAACUCCGUGCCAGCAGCCGCGGUAACACGGGGGGCGCAAGCGUUAUUCGGAAUUAUUGGGGCGUAAAGGGGCGCGCAGGCGGUCUUGUCAGUCAGGUGUGAAAGCCCGGGGGCUCAACCCUGGAAGUGCACUUGAAACAGCAAGACUUGAAUACGGGAGAGGAGAGAGGAAUUUCUGGUGUAAGGGUGAAAUUCGUAGAUAUCAGGAGGAACACCGAUGGCGAAGGCAUCUCUCUGGACCGAUAUGACGCUGAGGCGCGAAGGCGUGGGUAGCGAAGGGAUUAGAUACCCCGGUAGUCCACGCAUUAACGUUGUACACUCGGUGUCUCGGAUAUUAAAUCUGAGGUGCCCAAGCUAACGUGUUAAGUGACCGCCUUGGAAGUACGGGUCGCAGACUAAACUCAAAGGAUUGACGGGGGCCCGCACAGCGGUGAGCAUGGGUUUAAUCGACGCACGCGACGAAC